rnacentral:lncRNA from 1 species
UAACUUUGGGAGAUUACCACUUUUCCUUCUUGAAGAUGGAAUGUGCGAUCUUUAUUUUCGGAAAUGAGGAAUUUGUGCUCCCUUGUUUUCAAGCUCCAAGCUCCAAGCAUUUGUUUGGCAUCUGCUCAAAAACACUCAGAUGCUCAAAUUAGUAUUUGGUUCAUAAGAAAAUUCAAGAAUGUAUAAUAUUUUUGAGAUGUUUCCGAGCAAAAAGACUUCGACGUCCUUCUAGAAAGAUACAACUCUGAGUAUUUCUAAGGCGUUUAUGGAAUGUCCCCAUUGUUUUUCUUUUGUACGAGUGAAACCUUUAAACACAGAAAAGUCUGCAAAGAAUAAUGUUAAAUAGUUUCAGUUCCCACCUAAAUUCUCUGCAAAAUAUGUUAAAUAAUUAUAUAAAUAAAAUAAAGACAAAAUAUAACAUUGUUCAUACAAAAUAAAUUUGUGUAGAAAAUUUCUCUAUUAGAGAAAACGGCCAUCAAGAAUAACUAGAUAAAGUUUACCAUGCGAAAAAUUGUUUCAACUAAGUCACAUUCUUCCAAAAUAUUUAUCUUAGAUCCAAAUCCCAAUUACACGCACAAAAAUAUCUCACUCAUAAAGAGUCUGAAAGAAGUAAUGUUAGGAAUUUUUUAUUCCCACCAAGUUCUUUCCAAAAUAAGUCAAACAAGUAUA